UACGGAGGGAGCAAGCGUUACUCGGAAUUAUUGGGCGUAAAGGGCGCGCAGGCGGGCUUUUAAGCCAGACGUGAAAUCCCCGGGCUUAACCUGGGAAUGGCGUUUGGGACUGGGAGUCUGGAGUGCGGCAGAGGAGACUGGAAUUCCUGGUGUAGCAGUGAAAUGCGUAGAUAUCAGGAGGAACACCGAUGGCGAAGGCAGGUCUCUGGGCUGACACUGACGCUCAUGCACGAAAGCGUGGGGAGCAAACAGG
rnacentral:rRNA from 1 species